rnacentral:rRNA from 1 species
GACAGAGGGUGCAAGCGUUGUUCGGAAUUACUGGGCGUAAAGGGCGCGUAGGCGGUCCGCUAAGUUCGGCGUGAAAUCCCCAGGCUCAACCUGGGAACUGCGUCUGAUACUGGAUGGCUUGAAUCCGGGAGAGGGAUGCAGAAUUCCAGGUGUAGCGGUGAAAUGCGUAGAUAUCUGGAGGAACACCGGUGGCGAAGGCGGCAUCCUGGACCGACACUGACGCUGAGGAGCGAAAGCCAGGGGAGCAAACGGG